rnacentral:misc_RNA from 1 species
GAUGAAGAACGCAGCGAAAUGCGAUAAGUAAUGUGAAUUGCAGAAUUCAGUGAAUCAUCGAAUCUUUGAACGCAUAUUGCGCCCGCCAGCAUUCUGGCGGGCAUGCCUGUUCGAGCGUCAUUUCAACCCUCGACUUCCCUUUGGGGAAGUCGGCGUUGGGGACCGGCCGUAUACCGCCGGCCCCGAAAUGAAGUGGCGGCCCGUCCGCGGCGACCUCUGCGUAGUAAUCCAACUCGCACCGGAACCCCGACGUGGCCACGCCGUAAAACCCCCGACUUCUGAACGUUGACCUCGGAUCAGGUAGGAAUACCCGCUGAACUUAAGCAUAUCAAUAAGCGGAGGA